UGUUGCUGCUUUCCUUCUACGCAGAGGCGCCAGACGAGUCAAGUGCACUGCUGCGAGCCGUGUAUUUUUGUGUUUUGCUCCGUUGGACUGCCAAAAUGGAAGAGGAUUAUAUAUCUAAGCUUAAAAAUUUCUCAAAACUGGACUUUCAGUCAAAAGGGGAAGUGAUUAACAACGGAAGACCAACGCCGGAGCUAAAAGGUUUCCUUCAAACUACGGAACAGAAGAUAACUCGCUCUUUUCAAACGGAGUGGUACACCCGAAAAGACUGGCUGUGUGGCUGUACUCCGAAAAACCGCCUUUACUGCUUUCCCUGCCUUUUGUUCUCAACUUGUGACAAUGUCUGGACUCACACGGGAUAUUGUGACAUGAAAAAUUUACCACGAAGCCUCAGCAAACAUGAGAGAUCGACCACUCACAUUCAAAGCCAGAUUGCUUUAACAACUUUUGGAAGCUCAAGGAUCGAUUUGGCUUUGAACGAACAGCGGAGACUCAAUAUUAGCAUCCACAAUGCUAAGAGUGAGCCACAGGGUGUUGGUGUGACACAGAGGAGGACAACAACUGAAAACACACACAAGCAUCUUUUUCAGUGAUCCCUUCUCCAUUAUGAGAGGUGCUUCAAUGCAUUUCUUGGAUUCAAGGCAUGCCAUAAAAAAUGGCCUCAGUCUCUCCUCCUGCUUCCCACACCCACUUCUCCUGUGCUCAAUUCAGAGUUCCCCUGUAGAUACCUGCUCUCCAGAUCGACUCCUAUGCCUGAUUGAUUUGUGUGUUUGCCUUGGCUCCCCAGCCUUUAUUUAAGCCCCUUUGCUGAGAUUUCCUGUUUGGCCAUUUCUUCGACUUUGGACCACCAAUUCUACCUAGGCCCCUACUUUUGUUUGCCUGCCUGUCACUCUGCCUAUUCGCCUUUUUUUCUCAAUAACAUACCUUUAAACUGUUUCUGUUUGCCUGGUUAAUUCUGCAUCCUUUUCCUCCUCCCUGCUAUAUAUUGUCAGCAUUCAGAUCAGUCCGUUAUUACAGCAGGAAAUGAGGAAUAAUUUAUUCUUUAACUGAAAACAAGUUUUAUCUCCUUGACGUUUAUUCGUCUGGUUUGUGUUGUGUUGAAAUAUAAAUUGAUCUGUGGUGGUUAUGGGUUCGUCUUAGAUAUGUAUGGGAGCUUUGAAUGGGGCAAUUUUACAUGCU